rnacentral:rRNA from 1 species
AUGGUAUAAUAAAAUCGGAGGCCACGACUGUUUACUAAAAACACAAUUCAGAGCAAUUAUUAAGAUAAUAGUAUUCUGAAUGAAAUUUGCUCAAUGCCAUUAAUAUAAAAGAGGUAAUUUUAAAGUUACUAAUUGAAAGUCUGGUUAAUAGCGGUCUUAACUAUGAGGAUCCUAAGGUAGCAAAAUAAAUUGGCCAUUAAAUGUGGUCUAGUAUCAAUAAUGUAACGAUGGUCUCACUGUCUCUACAACUUGCUCAGUGAAA